rnacentral:rRNA from 1 species
GACGAACGCUGGCGGCGUGCCUAAUACAUGCAAGUAGAACGCACAGUUUAUACCGUAGCUUGCUACACCAUAGACUGUGAGUUGCAAACGGGUGAGUAACGCGUAGGUAACCUGCCUGGUAGCGGGGGAUAACUAUUGGAAACGAUAGCUAAUACCGCAUAAUAUUGAUUAUUGCAUGAUAAUUGAUUGAAAGAUGCUAUUGCAUCACUACCAGAUGGACCUGCGUUGUAUUAGCUAGUAGGUGAGGUAACGGCUCACCUAGGCGACGAUACAUAGCCGACCUGAGAGGGUGAUCGGCCACACUGGGACUGAGACACGGCCCAGACUCCUACGGGAGGCAGCAGUAGGGAAUCUUCGGCAAUGGACGAAAGUCUGACCGAGCAACGCCGCGUGAGUGAAGAAGGGUUUCGGAUCGUAAAGCUCUGUUGUAAGAGAAGAACGGGUGUGAGAGUGGAAAGUUCACACUGUGACGGUAUCUUACCAGAAAGGGACGGCUAACUACGUG